CCUACGGGAGGCAGCAGUGGGGAAUUUUGGACAAUGGGCGCAAGCCUGAUCCAGCAAUGCCGCGUGAGUGAAGAAGGCCUUCGGGUUGUAAAGCUCUUUUGUCAGGGAAGAAACGGUGGGGGCUAAUAUCCUCCACUAAUGACGGUACCUGAAGAAUAAGCACCGGCUAACUACGUGCCAGCAGCCGCGGUAAUACGUAGGGUGCAAGCGUUAAUCGGAAUUACUGGGCGUAAAGCGUGCGCAGGCGGUUUUGUAAGUUUGUCGUGAAAUCCCCGGGCUCAACCUGGGAAUGGCGAUGAAGACUGCAAGGCUAGAAUCUGGCAGAGGGGGGUAGAAUUCCACGUGUAGCAGUGAAAUGCGUAGAGAUGUGGAGGAACACCGAUGGCGAAGGCAGCCCCCUGGGUCAAGAUUGACGCUCAUGCACGAAAGCGUGGGGAGCAAACAGGAUUAGAUACCCUGGUAGUCCACGCCCUAAACGAUGUCUACUAGUUGUCGGGUUUUAAUUAACUUGGUAACGCAGCUAACGCGUGAAGUGACCGCCUGGGGAGUACGGUCGCAAGNUUAAACUUNAAAGUGAGUUAGAGNGNGNGNGNGCGAGCGACGACGAGGAGAGG
rnacentral:rRNA from 1 species